rnacentral:rRNA from 1 species
GCUGGCGGCAUGCUUUACACAUGCAAGUCGAACGGCAGCGGGGUAGUGCUUGCACUACUGUCCGGCGAGUGGCGAACGGGUGAGUAAUAUAUCGGAACGUACCGAGUAAUGGGGGAUAACCAAUCGAAAGAUUGGCUAAUACCGCAUACGUCCUACGGGAGAAAGCGGGGGAUCGCAAGACCUCGCGUUAUUCGAGCGGCCGAUAACUGAUUAGCUAGUUGGUGGGGUAAAGGCCUACCAAGGCGACGAUCAGUAGCGGGUCUGAGAGGACGAUCCGCCACACUGGGACUGAGACACGGCCCAGACUCCUACGGGAGGCAGCAGUGGGGAAUUUUGGACAAUGGGGGCAACCCUGAUCCAGCCAUGCCGCGUGUAUGAAGAAGGCCUUCGGGUUGUAAAGUACUUUUGUUAGGGAAGAAAAGGGAAGUGCUAAUACCACUUUUUGCUGACGGUACCUAAAGAAUAAGCACCGGCUAACUACGUGCCAGCAGCCGCGGUAAUACGUAGGGUGCGAGCGUUAAUCGGAAUUACUGGGCGUAAAGCGAGCGCAGACGG